rnacentral:rRNA from 1 species
UACGAAGGGUGCAAGCGUUACUCGGAAUUACUGGGCGUAAAGCGUGCGUAGGUGGUUUGUUAAGUCUGAUGUGAAAGCCCUGGGCUCAACCUGGGAAUGGCAUUGGAUACUGGCGAGCUAGAGUGCGGUAGAGGGCAGUGGAAUUCCCGGUGUAGCAGUGAAAUGCGUAGAGAUCGGGAGGAACAUCUGUGGCGAAGGCGACUGCCUGGACCAGCACUGACACUGAGGCACGAAAGCGUGGGGAGCAAACAGG